rnacentral:tRNA from 1 species
UCCCUGGUGGCUCAGAUGGUAAAGAAUCUGCUUGCAAUGCAGGAGAUCCAGGUUUGAUCCCUGGGUUGGGAA